rnacentral:antisense_RNA from 1 species
CUUCACCGAGCCCAGCAGCAGCGGACUCCCCGCCUCGCGGUCCUGGCCGUAGGCGGCGAGCAGGGCCUGCGCCUC